rnacentral:rRNA from 1 species
UACGGAGGGUGCAAGCGUUAAUCGGAAUUACUGGGCGUAAAGUGUGCGCAGGUGGCCGCGCAAGUCGAGUGUGAAAUCCCCCGAGCUUAACUUGGGAAUUGCGCUCGAAACUACGUGGCUCGAGUGUGGCAGAGGAAGGUGGGAUUCCACGUGUAGCGGUGAAAUGCGUAGAGAUGUGGAGGAACACCGAUGGCGAAGGCAGCCUUCUGGGCCAACACUGACGCUCAUGCACGAAAGCGUGGGGAGCAAACAGG